UCCAAUGUGGCUCAGUGAUUUAAGCGUUGGACUACAACUCUGGCGGCCAGGGUUUGAUUCCCAGCUUGGUG